GCGGUGAAAGUUGAAUGAGAAACUGAAAGUGAUAAAUCUGCAUGAAGAAUAUCUGGAUUAAUAAUGUUGGAAAUGUAUGCAGUUCUUUGUGAAGUGUUCUAAACAUUGUGACACGCAAUAUGCUUGUGAAAGGCUGCGGUUUUUGUACCUGGCAGCUGUGGAUGGGCAUCUAAGCUUAGGGUCAGGCUGAGUGGACAUUUAUCCCUCUGGAUAUUUACUAGCUGAUAAUGAUUGGGGGACAGCAUUAGUUAACAUAUAAAGACAGGAAGCAAAGGUGCAAGAUCAACUGAUGCCAACAUUGUGCAGGAGAUGAUUGUACAGGU